GAAACAGUACCGGGGGCGGGUCGAGCGACGCAGCCGGGACGGUAGCUGCGGCGCGGACCGGAGGAGCCAUCUUGUCUCGUCGCCGGGGAGUCAGGCCCCUAACUCGAAGAAGCCCUGGCGCGCCCUCCCCCCCUCCCGGGUCUGGUAGGGCGAAGGAGCGGGCGCGCGGUCGAUCGAGCGAUCGGUUGGCGGCUCUUUCUCCUGCUCUGGCAUCCAGCUCUUGGGGCGCAGGCCCGGCCGCCGCGGCGCGCGCCCGGUGGCCGUUGGCGCUCGCGCCGCGUCUUUCUUCUCGUACGCAGAACUCGGGCGGCGGCCUAUGCGUUUGCUAUUCGACGAGGAGUCGUCCGGGUGGUCGGCGGCGGCGGGCAGCUGCUCCGCCCCGCUCCCGGGGAGGCGGUGGCAGCGGGAUUUGGCGCGGCCGGGGAGGCGGGGGUGGCCGGGGCUGGCCUGGAGGCCUGGCGCCAUUCUUCGGGGCCCGCAAGGACCCAGUUGGGGGGACAGGAGGCGGCUGGGGGAUGGUUGGUGGUGGGCUUUUUGCUUUGCCUUUUCCUCCUUAUGCCGCCUUAGUGAGGGCCGGGAGCUCUGGGGGCAGCUCCGGGGUGGGGAGACGAGACCCGGAGUCGAAAGAGCUAGGUUUGCUUCCGGGCCUGGCCAACAGCUGCCCGAGUGACCUUAGGCAAGUCACUCUGUAAUUUGUCUGCGCCUCAGUUUCCUCCUCUGCCUAUCAGCGUUCGUAGAAUUGGACGCACUUUGUAAACUGUAAAGCGUAGGUGUGCGUAAAGGAUGAUUAUUGUUUGUAAAAGUUUUUUGAGUUGAAAGAAACUUAGCGAUUUUCCAAUCCUUGGAUUUUUAACCUGGGAACCUUGGAUUGGAGAUAGAGAUCCCUAACCUCCCUGAAAUUGUAUGCAGAAAUGUGUAGAAAUGUGCAUUUUAGGGGAGGGAGGAUCCAUUGCGAUCAAGUUUACUGAGGAGGCUGUGACCAAGAAGAGUUAAGAACCACAAUUCCUUUAUGCGAAAGGGAGGAAACUGAGGCCUAGAUGUCAUUUGGGACCCUUCACAACCAGUUUGAAGCCCCUGUUUGAGUCCCUGGAAUAUGUGAGCUGUUUCUAUGCAUAAUGGACAUUCCGGGUAUCAACACUCCCCUGUUUGGCUUCUAUUCUGAGCCCUUUACUUUCACCAUGGGGUGCCUGAAGGGUGGCUAGUGCGUAUGGUACAGUGGCACUCUGUGUAAAGCAGCUCAGUCUAGGAUUGGGAUAUGUUAUCUAGUAUCAAGAAGCCUGUUUAAUUUUUGGCCCAGCAACUCUUUGUUUUUUUGUUUUUUUUGUUUUGCUGCUUCUACUGGUGCCUGAUAUCUUUCAUUUUAUCAUUUUUCACAACCAUGGUUGACAUCUUGCUCCUACUUAAAGUAUUCUGUAUCUCUAGUCUGUGUGGUUGGUAGUGAACACGCUUAUUUUUAAAUGGUGCUGCAAGCCCAGCUAUUUAAUGGUGCACGUGGCUUUUUAGCAAGCAGCUCACUGGAACAGACUGAACCGGGCAUGGAGUUCCUGAACAUGUUUGGUGUUUUUUGUUUUUGUUUUUUUUUAAUUAAUUGAAGGUUAACAUGCCCUGAAACAUUUUGUUUGUACAAUUCCUGCUGAACCUCAAAAUUAGUAGAUUUGGAAGUGAUUCAAAGCUUAACUUUUCCUGGCCUGCCCUAUAUUCUAAUUGCUUGCAAGUCUUGAUAUUAAAAUGGCCAAAAUGCCAGUUUUUGCUUGUUACUUGUCAGCUGCUUUUAUCAAAUUCCAGGCCAUUAUUCAGCAAACACUAUAGAAAUGUUUGAAGAGUUGGAUUUCAAGCAUUUUUGUUUUGUGGUGUGGUGCUUACCAGUGGUACAGCUCUAAGCAAGAGAACAGAAAUAAACACAUUUAAAUGUAUUUUGUCUGGUUAGGUGUUAGCGGGUCCUACUAUUUCAUACAAAUGUCUGAAAAAAAUCACUUGACUAUUCCUUUUAUAUAAAAGGCACAGACAAAGUGAUCUCACUUCCAGAGAAAUGACUGUUUUGGAGAAAAAUGUAUUGAUCUUUUAGCUCUUCUGUAAUUAAAUCUGGAUGUACCUCAAAAGAAUCUUUAGACUGUGGUGAUAAGAUGCUUUCCUCUGGAGAAAAGAGGGAAAAAAACAACUGGAAUACAAAGCUUGAAUUUUUGUGACAAAACAUGAUACCCAGGAUUGGAGGUGCAAAGAGUUUCGCUGUCACGUUCACCUGCGCUAUCUGGAGCAGGUAUCUUUCAUUGUAGCCACAGCCAUGGAAUCCAGAUUUCCAAGAACUGGACCUGAAACCCAGGAGAGCUUAUCAGGAUGGGCAGAACUCUGGAACUAGACAUUUUUUAAUUGUGAAUUUUUGAACUGUUGACCUUGCUGUGAGAAAAUAGGCAACGACUGAACAGUAUUGCCACCAGCACCGAUACUGGGAAUUAGAAGACCUGAGCUUCUGUCCAGACCCUUGGUACAAAUUCUGACGGCACUCCAUCCAAAGUGAACUAGGAUCUGGUACCUGGAUUUUUGCCCAUGUUUGAGUCCUACUACCUUACUACUGAAGAAGACACCAUUCCUGUGGACCACUGUGACCCAAGAGGCAUUCAGCCAUGAUGAUGUGGCCUUCACCUCCACUCUUUUCCUGUUCUACCCAGAUUCAACACAACCCCUUAAAGUGAAGUCAGAGCCUCAAACCAAAUAGCUGAAGCUACUUUGUGAUAACAACAAAGGUACAGUUUGUUCCAUGAGAGCUCAUUUCUUCAGUCAGAGCCUUCAGAGACACAGUGAAAUUUGGGACAGGGAAUUUUUAGUUAUCAAUGCUAUCUGAAGAACAACAACAUCUCUUUGAGAAGAGCAUUGGACCACACCCCACAAUCUCAAAUAAUUGAUUCAUGAAGAAUCUAGGAUCCAUAAAGGUCACUGCAGAUCUGUAGUAGCCUCCUGAAUGGGAAAGCAGAUAUUCUGACCUGUUGGGAGCAAAACAAAGACAUAGUGAACUCUUCAUAGCAUCUUCUUUGGGAUUACUCAGGAACCAGAACUUUUCACACAAAUGUGAGAAAUUCUACCAAGGAAUUCCUUUACCUAACAGCAUCUCACAAAGCUCCAAUCAGAUUCCAGAAAAGGCUUCUUGAUACAUCAAGCUUUUUGUGAACAACCUAUUCUUAGAUCGUUUUCCAGAGGCUUUGUGGCUAUGAAGCACUUUGAAUGAAAACUAUGCGGAAGCCCUGAGUAAAAGUGAUGCUGCUCUGGAUGAAGCAGGAGUGGGGGGGACUAAAACCCUCUACAAGCCCUUUCCUUCUCACCAUGGUGACAGCCAAGGGGACUUCCUUGCAACACCUAGAGUUCCUCAGAACAGUUUGAAAACCACUGCCCUAGAGAACAAUGUAAUGUUUGACCUGGAUGUCAUCCUGAUCUUUUCUGCUCCUCUACCCAACACAGCCCUUGUUCAGUUGAUGCUGAACAUAUUUAUGAAUACUUACUGCGUGCACAUUUUUAAAAAUACAAGAAGAUAGGCUGUCUUUGUCCCCCAGAAUAUUCAGAUGGACUGAAGGUGGUGUCAAAUGGACCUAAUUUGACAGCUCUCCACCCCCAGAUGGACUUCAGUGAUUCCUGGGAUUGAAUAUAGCCAGAGAGUGAUUCAUACAUACUCUACACUGACAAACCAACUUCUUUCACAAACACCAGACGCUCUAGUGGUACUUGAAGUAUAUAUGACUUUGAAGUCUUGAUCUUCAGAUACCUAAAUAUGUAAUGAAUAUUGAAGCUAAUGCAUCAUUGGGACCAUAAUAUACCAUCUUGUGCAUUUGAUCUCUCAUCAUUAGCCACAGUCUGCUGCUUCAUGUGCAGGGGAUAACCAUUAGCUAUGAAAGUAGCAUUCAGAGACUGGCAACUUUACCUGAAAGGGGCUCAGUACCUGCUUAUCAAUCAUCUUACUCUCAAACUACAAGUCAUUAUAUGACUCAACCAGUGGCAGUUCACUGCUCUUUGGUUUCUAUUCAUUUAAUUACUAUUUUCAGGAUAGACAAACUAAUAACCUGAAAAAAAAAAAAAAAGCCAAAACACUUCCUCCAUCACUGGCAUACCUGCCUAUCCUGCUGCCGAAUUAUGACUGCUCAGUUCUAACUACAAAUAACAGCUUAUCCACAAGAGACAAUCUUGGAACAUCCUUUUUCAUAAGUGAUUAAAAGCUUAUUUUCCAGCCAAUGAGAGGAGUUCUAUUAAGGAUGAGUCUUUUGAUAUCUGAUACCAUCAAUUCUAGGUGUUAGGGUUAUUUGGAGGCAUGUUCUUUGACCAUUCCAUGAUAGCUUACUUGCUGGGCAUUUCAAAUCACACAUCAUCCAUCUUUUUUGCUGGAAAUGUAGACUUACUUGAAAAGAAAUCUACAAAGACUGCAGCUAAGGAUUUUAUCAGUUGACUCAAGAUCUUCCUGCUGCUUAUUCAUGUUGUAAGACCACAGUUCCCUGUCUUUGUGGAUGUAAUUGCAUUUCAUCUGUCUCAGUAGAAUUUUUUUACUCUGGCAGACACCUGAUUCAGAGUGGCUCACAUCAUUCCUUGUCAUGAGAUACUCUCAGGCACCAGGACAACUUUUCUGUUCUUGUAAGAAGGAUUCAUUAACUCCCACACCAAAUCACCUUGAACUAGAAAACAUCGAUUCAUGUUAUGAGAAAACCUUGUUGCUUUACUUCGCAAAGUCCAGCUUUCAGCUGCUCUAAUGAAUGCACUGAUUAAACAUUGGGAAUGGCUUCUUUGUAUCUCUCUUCCUGUAGACCAAUUGUAAUUACCUGACUAAACUCUACAAAUCAUCUUUCCAAGUCCUCCUGUACCUGGCUGAGGUCAUAAUCAAGGCCUAGGUCUGGUUGCUCUAGACUUCUCACCCUUCAACAAAUAAAAAUAAAAUCUGGAUGACUUGCCUGCUUGUAUAUACAGCUAUUAUUUGUAAAGAACAAAGGAUCUAAAAAGCUCAAUUUUUUUACUACCUUCAAAAUACCAGCUUUUUUUUCCCCUCUUUCUCCUGUAUUUUACAGAAAAAGACAUUGAUCUACACUGCCAGUCAUUUCCUCUGAUCCUGUCAAACUCAGCCAAAAUGAGAGGUUUAAAAUCAGAAUGACCUCUGCCCAUGAGUCUUCACGUACAUUGUGUAUGAAAAUUGGGGGCUGGAAAACAAAAAGCCUGGAAUUAAAAUCUAGGAGCUUGCUUACUAUCUCCAUGCUUCAAGUCUCCUCUGCAUCUUUCAGUGGCACCAUUCAACUAUUCUGAGGCCUUGACUUGCUUGUAAAAGGAUUCUGAGAUGGGCUGAGUUACAGAAGACGAAAACAUGAUUACCAAAGAAAGUAGGGCCAUCCUUGACAAACUUAGCUCCUCCGACCCUACUGUUCCCAGAUGUAGCAAAGACUCCUAAGCUUCACCUCAAAUCUAGAUUGAGCAUAUGGCCUUCUCCUGAGCUGAAAGAUACUGGGCAGAUGAGCAGUAAAAUGAAAGAUGCUAUAGCUGACUGGCCCAUUAAGAUCAGAAAGUUGUAUCCUGUGUAAGCACUACAGAUUAACCUUGGAAUACCUAGGGUAAGAACUAAUUCCCAGAGCUUCAUUAUUAAUCUUCCUGUUCUUUGAGGUCAUAUCUUCCUUUUUUGUAUGGCUGGUCCUGUUGGAGGUACCCUGCUUGCUUUACCUGACUUAGCCCUUGCUUACCUUUCUUCGAUGUGUUGCUGCAAAUCAGACUGGCUGCUCUUGAAAAGAAUACAACCAGCCUCAGCCUAUUUUGUGCCUAUUUCCACCAAGGAUUUUGAACAAAAACAAGCCACACCUCACCCCACCAGGACUUAAUGUUCACAGCAGGAAGGCCAUGCUGUACACUCCUUGACCAGCAGCUAUUUUUUUAAAAGUGCAGAGUAGGCUUGUAUGCCUAUAUGUCAUUUCAAGCACCUGGAACCUUUUCUACCACAUCUGGAAGGAGUACACACUCAUAACAUUGUCGAUUCCUCUCCUGCAAUAAUACAGAGGUGAGUCGCCAGUAGUCAGAGAAACAAGGAACACCAGAAAGGUUUUCCAUUGAACUUAAAAUCUGCAUCUAAGUCAAAUAACCUCACAAGACUGUUUGCCAGUGGGGGCUAGUUGUCCUGCUUCACAUCAGCAAGACAGUUGGGCUGUCAGACCCCUGACCACCAAGUUUGCUUAUAUUUAAACUCUGUUACCAUCCAAAGUAUGUUAUUGGACAUGAUUUAUUAUUCCAUUCAAAUGGAUUACAGGCUUCCUGAGGACAGGACAAAUUUAUUUAUCCCUCUUGAUGUUUUCAGAAUACUUUUAUUUAUUACCAAGGAAGAAAUUAUGCCAGCUGUUACUAUUCAACUUCAUGAGCAGAGAUUAAAGUUUUUUAUUAUCUGGUCUCAUCCCAGACAUCACUUGUUUUUUAUAGCCUAGUAUUCAUUCCAUGUUCUUGUAAUAACUCAAUGUUUCUUGGAACCACCUUUCACUAGGCCCAGUCCAUGUGGUUCAGAAGGGCCAACCCAACUUGGGACAUUACAGAGGUUCAUAUAAUUAAGAUCCAAUCAGUCAGAACAGUUUAUCUCCUUGACCAUAGCAAUUGGUUCAGGAAUGGUCAUGUGAUCCAAGUUGGUCCAGUGAUAGUCAGCCCUACAAAUUUUACUGAACUGUGGAGAAGCUUUGCUGCAGUUGCUAAGCUUCAUAGGAUGAAAAGCUGGAACCAACAAGGCCCACUACAUACAGUGAGCCAGUCAGAGAAUAAGCCAGUGCAAAGGAAAGAGCCAAAAGAUGAAGAGACUUGCAUUCCUGAUAACAUCAUUUGCAUCCCUGGAUCCAACUGUGCCUGAAGCUAGUAUAUCCCCUGGACUUUUCAGUUAUGUGAACCAAUAAAUUCCCUUUUUUGCUUAAGUCA